AACCUUUUCUCCCUGGUGGAGGAACCACUUGCAUGAGAAUAAGAGGUUGUUCCCCAGGCCAUCAGACUCCAAACAGUUAUGCAACUGGAGCCUCCUGAGGAUGACCCCUUCUGCCUGGGACCCUUAGAUCAGCCUCUAGAGAAGCUUUGACUGCUGUUUCCCCAAAACAGCACCCCCUGCCAUCAGGAAGCAAGCUGAUCAAGGAGAGAAGAUAAGGCAUGGAUAUUCAGUUUAAAAUGGUAGAGAACCAUAAUAAUACCUACCUUGAAGUGAUGAUAUAAACUACAUGACACAGAGUACUUGCUUCACACAGUGUUGGAACACACAGAGCUGCCACCUGGAAAUCCCUGCUCAUCUAAGGGUUGCAUCUAGACUCUGGUAGAUUUGGGGAGGGUGGCAUUUGAGUUAUGUCCUUUCCUGAGCUGUCCCAUGCCACAGCUUGCUGCUCUGUUGUCUCCUGACAAUUGGUCUCCUUGCUGCUAUUUCCAGAAAGCUUCACACAGAAAGCUUCACACACUCCUCUCACUCCUCAGACCAUCUUUCACAUAAUAC
rnacentral:lncRNA from 10 species